rnacentral:rRNA from 1 species
UACAGAGGGGGCAAGCGUUGUUCGGAAUUACUGGGCGUAAAGGGUUCGUAGGUGGCUUGCUAAGUCAGACGUGAAAUCCCUCAGCUUAACUGGGGAACUGCGUCUGAUACUGGAUGGCUUGAGUUUGGGAGAGGGAUGCGGAAUUCCAGGUGUAGCGGUGAAAUGCGUAGAUAUCUGGAGGAACACCGGUGGCGAAGGCGGCAUCCUGGACCAACACUGACGCUGAGUGAGCGAAAGCCAGGGGGGCAAACGGG